rnacentral:rRNA from 1 species
AGUGAACGCUGGCGGUAGGCCUAACACAUGCAAGUCGAACGGCAGCACAGUAAGAGCUUGCUCUUACGGGUGGCGAGUGGCGGACGGGUGAGGAAUACAUCGGAAUCUACUUUUUCGUGGGGGAUAACGUAGGGAAACUUACGCUAAUACCGCAUACGACCUACGGGUGAAAGCAGGGGAUCUUCGGACCUUGCGCGAUUGAAUGAGCCGCUGUCGGAUUAGCUAGUUGGCGGGUUAAAGGCCCACCAAGGCGACGAUCCGUAGCUGGUGUGAGAGGAUGAUCAGCCGCACUGGAGGUGGGACACGGUCCAGAGGCCUACGGGAGGGAGCAGUGUGGUAUGUUGGACAGUGGGGGGAAGCCUGAUCCAGUCAUACCGCGUCGGUGGAGGAGGCGUUGGGGUUGUAAAGCCGGUUUGUUGGGAAAGAAAAGCAGCAGGUUAAGACCCCGCGGUUCUGACGGUACCGAAAGAAUAAGCACCGGCUAACUUCGUG